GCCUAACACAUGCAAGUCGAACGGAGAGCUUCCAGGUAUUUAUACCCAGAAGUUUCUUAGUGGCGAACGGGUGAGUAACGCGUUGGUGACCUGCCCCGAAGCGGGGGACAACUCCGGGAAACUGGAGCUAAUACCCUAUGUGGUCACGAGGGUUAGAGGCCUCGUGUCUAAAGGUUUCGAUCACUUCGGGAGGGGCCUGCGUCCCAUCAGCUUGUUGGUAGGGUAACGGCCUACCAAGGCGACGACGAGUAGGGGGCCUGAGAGGGUGACCCCCCACAAUGGAACUGAAACACGGUCCAUACACCUACGGGUGGCAGCAGUAGGGAAUAUUGCCCAAUGGGCGAAAGCCUGAGGCAGCAACGCCGCGUGUGCGAUGAAGGCCUUCGGGUUGUAAAGCACUUUUCUGAGGGAAGAGGAAGGACGGUACCUCAGGAAUAAGGCUCGGCUAACUACGUGCCAGCAGCCGCGGUAAAACGUAGGAGCCAAGCGUUAUCCGAAUUUACUGGGCGUAAAGCGCGUGCAGGCGGUGUGGUAAGUUGGAUGUGAAAGCUCCCGGCUCAACUGGGAGAGGCCGUUCAAUACUGCCACACUCGAGGACGGUAGAGGGAGGUGGAAUUCCCGGUGUAGUGGUGAAAUGCGUAGAUAUCGGGAGGAACACCAGUGGCGAAGGCGGCCUCCUGGGCCGUUCCUGACGCUCAGACGCGAAAGCUAGGGGAGCGAACGGGAUUAGAAACCCCGGUAGUCCUAGCCGUAAACGAUGUAGACUUGGUGUCGGUGGUGUAAGAGCCAUCGGUGCCGUAGCUAACGCGAUAAGUCUACCGCCUGGGGACUACGGCCGCAAGGUUAAAACUCAAAGGAAUUGACGGGGACCCGCACAAGCAGCGGAGCGUGUGGUUUAAUUCGAUGCUACGCGAAGAACCUUACCCGGGCUUG
rnacentral:rRNA from 1 species